ACAGAUGGUUGUGAGCCACCAUGUGGUUGCCGGGAAUUGAACUCACGACCUCCGGAAGAGCAGUCGGGUGCUCUUAACACUGAGCAUCUCUCCAGCCCCUGUUUUCAUUUAUAGCUUGAACUUUCCUCGAAGCUGAGAGGGGGCAGAGCAGAAACAGUCCUUGCUAAGACAGUACACUCUUGUGUUGCGGUAAAUACUAAAAACAACCAGCAACCAUCAUAGAACCAUAUGGCGUUUGCGGGAGUAUUUUCAUCUCAGCAAAGCAUCUCACCCAUUAAGCUCUAUCCCAUGCUGCCACUGGCUACUGCUGAGCCUGGCAGCAACCUCUCCAUUCACCUAGUUCCCAAGGCAGGUUGCUGUUGUGCCAGUUUCAUACAGAGACCGCCUGUCUUGAGGCUCUGUUGCUGUGGACUCUGCCCACGUUCCCAGCAUUCCCCCCUGUGGCUAUAGUCACUACUCCCAGUAACACGUUAAAGUCAAAACUCAAUAAGCUUGUAAUUUAUCAGAUUUAUAUCAGUUUUAAAUUCAAAACCCACAAAACUUCUUCUGCACAAUAAACUCACAACCAAUUGAUAAUGAUAUAAACUACCCACCUAGAUAAGAUAAAUUGACCUAUAAAAAUCCAUCCCUUAAGAAAAAUAACUACCAUUUAAGGCCACAAGGAUCUGAGUCAUCCUUCUCUGCCUCCAUCUUGGUUCUUCUCCACUUUCUCCUCACUUUCCCUUUACCAAAACUCUGUCCUGCCCCCCUUUCUCACUAUCCAAUCACAGGUCCUGCCCCAUCCUGUGCCAGCUCUCACCUGUAUAAAGACGACAAUCCACACUCUUGAAGGCUGGAGAAUGUGGCACGGAUGGGGCAGUCUAGGGGGUCAUCUGUCCUAUGUGAAACACAUCUGUCCUCCAAGCAGAGUGAUUCUGGUGACUGUUGCUAGUUUUCAAGGAUGCCCUCCCUGUCUUUGCCCUGUUUUGCACUCUAAGUGUGUCCUUUGAUGUCCCCACUUCUUUUUUCUGUUUAGAUUCCAUAAUCCACUCAGAUCUAUAUUCUAGAUUACUAACUGCAUGCCCAAUUGGACUCUGGCUGUGCACAGUUCACUAAUACUAAACUUGUCAGCCAUAUUGCUUCAUUAGCUGUCAGGAUGAUGAUUUUGAAGCUUUUAAAAAAUAAUUUAACUUUUGCUGGGCAUGGUAUGCAAAGCAGAGGCAAGUGGGUCUCUGAGUUUGAAGCCAGCCUGGUCUACAGAGUGAGUUCUAGGACAGUCAGGGUCACACAGAGAAACCCUGUCUCAAGAAAAACAAAACAAAACAAAAUUAACUUUGUUAUAAAACAAAACAAUAACUUAGAAAUAAAAAAAAAACAAACCAGAAAACCAUAUCACACCCUGAAAUUAACCAGACUCAGAGUCCAUAGAUCUCAUUGAACUUCUGUACAGUUAGAAUAGGCAUUCCCUAACAAAUAUAUUUUCAAUAUUUCAGCUUAGCAAUUUGAAGCUGUGGAGUGAGAGUGGAGGCUGAAUUCAAAUGUAGAAGCCCGUGCUUCCCUCCUAGACGCUCUACUUAACAAGUAUGGAGUGACGACCAGGGAUGUGUAGGUGACCGUCCCUCAGAUGAUUCUGAUACCAGGCAUCAUCUGAGGGACAUGUGUCUGAGAUCCAUGGACUUUGGGGUCUUUGUCACCUCCUCACUAUUCAAGGACCAGGAAGCCUUUUUGCUUUUAGGGCUGGAGAGAUGGCUCAGUGGUUAAAAGCAUGUACUACCUUCCAGAAAACUCAGGUUCAGUUCCUAGCACUCACAUCAGGUAAUUCACAACCACCUGUAACUCCAGCUCCAAGGGUGCCUGAUGCUCUGGCUUCCAUAGGCAUCAACACUCAUGUGCACGCAUGCACCACAGCCAAGAAUAAGUAAAGUAAAAGAUCCCAGGAACUUGGUGUGUGCCACGUGAGAAGUCAGAGAAGGUUUAAGCAGAGAUGAAGGAGGUAAGUGAGCAGGUACGGAACUGAGAGUGAGCCUGGGAUGGGAUCAGGACACACGUACAGACAGUGGAGGACGGAGCAGCACCCCGAUGCUUGCUUACACGGAGGGCCUUGAUGUUAAGUCCCACUGCAGACAGUGCUUUGGAGAUUUACCAGAAGCUUUGCGUAAGAAAGCAGGUUUAAAUACAGACCCUGGUGGCUGCCCAGCGUAUUAGAGACUUACCUCUAGGAUUUUUAUAUUUGCUGUGCUCUAGCGAAGGCCUUCCUCCUGCAGUCUGGCUGCCCUCAGUCUCCAGAGCCCUCUUUCACAUUGCUUCAGUUUCUUAUAAGCAACUGGAUGCCACUUACCUCCUUUAAGGGGUUCUCCUUGCAGCCUGCGCAGCCAAGUUCAGGGCUUCAGUUUAGAAUCAAUAGCUCUCCUUAAUUACAUUUGAAUUAUGGCCGCCUGUUAGGCUUCCAGUAUCUGCCCACGCAGCUCAGUACUUUGCUUCUUUUCUCUCUUCACUAUAUAGCUCAGGCUGGUUUCAUGAUCCUUCUUAGCACCCUCAUGUUAAGAUUACAGGUUUAUGCCACAAUACCCAGCUUAGUUCCUCUUGUAGAGGCCUUCGCCCUGUGUUAUGAUUUCACCUAGGAAAGAGAAAGAUAGUGCUGUCCAUUUAGAGACAGCAAACUUGAGUGCUGGAUGGGAAGGAGUGUGCUUGUCUCUGACCUUAGUACUUAGCACUAGGACUGGGGAGAAGGCUUGCUCUUGCAAAGGACCUGGAUUCAACUUCCAUCACCUACAUGAUGGCCUGAAACUGUAACUCCAGACCUGGGGGAUCCAAUGCCUUCACAUGAUGUACAGACAUAAUGCAAUCAAAGCAUGUGUACACAUAAAAUAAAAAAUAAAUAACACUUAGACAGCAUGUCUCAGGUCACUCAGGGAUCAUCAAAUACGAUGAGGUAGAAAGAUUCUAAGAGCCAGAGGUUGGGAAAGAUGAGAACAAAAAGUAUGCUUUUGUGGUUUUGAGACAGAGACCUCUCUCUGUCUCUCUUCUCUCUGUGUCUCUGCCUCUGUCUGUCUGUCUGUCUGUCUCUGUUUUUCUCAUGCCCUGGUUGUCCUGGAACUCUAUGUAGAUCAGGCUGCUCUCAAACUCACAGUGAUCAUCCACCUGCCUCUGCCUUUCAAGUGCUAGGAUUAAGAGUGUAUGUACAUCACUACACCUGGCAUUAGCAGAAGGAGGCAGCUCAUAAUUUACCCUAGAGUCAUGAAAUGAUGUCUGCUCAGUGUGUGCAAGUUCAACACAGACAGCGCAGGGGAGACACUGCUAGAGAGUAUCAGUGCCUGCUUUUCUCUGACUCAUCUGGUGACUUGUGCCCUUCUCAGCAGAUGUUUUUUUCCAACUGAAUAUGUUGGAGGCCUGGUGUGUGCGUGCAUUGUCUGUUCCUAUUGAAAGAACACAGAGGGAGCAGAAGACAGACAGACUGAGGCCCUGGACUGGUACUAAGUAGAGACUUCUGUAUCACAGCUUAGGAGAAUCUGGGUUCUCUAGAUUAAUAUAAAUAGUUAUAUAGUGGUCAGCAGAGAAGCUGCAACAUGAUAAACCUUGAGCUCUUAAAUUCAGUAAAUAGCUAUAGAAUAGAAUAAAAGUGUUUUGUUUGCUUGUUUUGUUUUGGGCAGUCUCAGAUAGCUCAGUCUGGCCUUGAGCUCUUUUAUGUAGCUGAAGAUGACCCUGAACUUCUGAUCUUGUCUCCUUCUCUAAAGAGCUGGAAUUACAGGUAGAUGCUACUUUUAUGUGAUGCUGGGAAUUGAAUUUGAGGUUUCAUGUAUGCUAGGCAAGUACUCUACCAACUGAUCUAUACCCUUAAUCUCAUUUUUUUAUUUAAAAAUUAUUGUGUGUAUGUGAGUAUAUAUGCGUGUACGUCCACCAGCCACAGCAUGGGAGUGGAGGUCAGAGGACAUUUGGUUUAUGCAGACUCACCAUGCGGGUUCUGGUGAUUGAACUCAGGUUGACAGGCUUUGUGAUCAGAGCCUCCGUGACCACCAGUACAUUUUUUCUUUCUUAAAACAGUGUCUGUCUCUGAGACUUAGACUGCCCUGGAGCUCACCUAAGCUAGUCUCAAAUUUAUGUUAAUCCUCCUGCCUCAGCCUCUCAAGUGCUGCAAUUGGAAGCUCACACUUGGUUCCAAGCAGCUUUCUGGACAGCCCUAGUGAGGGCAUCCUGCAUUUCUGGAGUAGCUGUGGCAAGGCAGUGGGUAUGGGUGGGAUGGGGGUGGGGCUGAGCAAGAGUCAACUUUUCUAAAGUAGCUAAUGGCUUACAUGGAGGAGGGGAGAAAGCAAUUAUGCUAGGUCUGAUACUUUGUGCUCACUACCCAUAGACUCAGAUACUUGUUGUAUGCUAGGGGAGGAGCUCUGGUCUCCUGUGGCCAUUUGUUUCCUUGUAAUAUCUCAGUCUUGCUUUCUGCAGGCAUCUGGAGCUCAGGGAGGGAAUAAAUAAAGCUAAAUAGCCUGGCUUCAAACCCUAGGGAUAUCAGGGGGUUAGGCCUUCUGGGACCUCUCUUCCUCAUCUGUCUUGGUCAGGGUUUCUGUUCCUCACAAACAUCAUGACCAAAAGCAAGUUGGGGAGGAAAGGUUUAUUCAGCUCACACUUCCACAUUGCUGUUCCUCACCAAAGGAAGUCAGGACUGGAACUCAAGCAGGGCAGGAAGCAGGAGCUGAUGCAGAGGCCAUGGAGAGAUGUUACUGGCUUGCUUCCCCUGGCUUGCUCAGCUUGCUCUCUUAUAGAACUCAAGACUACCAGCCCCGGGAUGACACCCCCCACAAUGGGCUGGGCCUUCUUCCAUUGAACACUAAUUGAGAAAAUACCUUACAGCUGGGUCUCAUGGAGGCAUUGCCCUCAACUGAGGCUCCUUCCUCUGUGAUAACUCCAGCUUUUAUCAAGUUGACACACAAAACCAGCCAGUACACCACCCCAUCCAGAUUGCUUGAAGGUUGCCUUCGACUUUUUCAGACCCCCUAGCCUGGCUUCUAGGAAGAGGAGGGAGCAUAGGGACUGUGGAAUAACUUGAGUUAACUGUUGCUGUUCUUAAGUCCUCUCUACAACACACUGGAGGUGGAGGAAGUGAGUGGGAGGCGGUCAGCAUGGUACUCUACUUAGGCCUCUGUUACAGCUUCUGCCCUUCUAAAACUGUCCCUCUCCUCCAGCUAUUAGUAGAUUAUGAGCACAGACCCUUUUGGGAUUAUGCUUGUCUUGAAGCCAGGUCUUGCUGUGUCACCCAGCUGUGAGAUCCUCCUGCCUGGGUCACCCAACGGUUACGAUCACAAGCAAACAUCACCACACCUGGCUGAUUUUAUUUAUUUAUUUAUUUAUUUAUUUAUUUAUUUAUUUAUUUAUUUAUUUAUUUUUAUUAAAAUUGUUUUCAUAGGCCGUGAUGGCUCUCUCGUCUUUAAUCUCUCAACACUUGGGAGGCAGAGGUAGGUAAAUCUCUGAGUUUGAGGACACCCAGGGCUACAGAGAGAAACCGUGUCUUGAGAAACCAAAAAAGAAAAAAAGAAAUUCAUACAAUAUAUUUUGAUUGCAAUUCCCCUUCCCCAACUCCUUCCAGAUCCUCCCCACACAUCCAACAACAACAAUAAGCCCAAACAUAGCAGUAGGAGACAAAAAGUCUAAAAUGUUUUGAAUUCAUUUUGUGUUUGCCAUCUACUGCUGGGCACGAGGCCUCCCCUGAAGUGUAGUUAAUAUAACCAGUGAGACUGUUGGGGAAACUAACGUUUCUGGUGGAUGUCAGUUACAGCUGGCUUCUUGGUUAGGUGUGGGAGCCUGUGUCCCACUCCCCUCCCAGCACUGGGACUCCAUCUGGUUUGAUUGCUGAUUUUAUAUAACUUGACUAUUAAAGAUCCCUUUGGGGCCUGGAGAGAUGGCUCAGCCCUGAGCACUGGUCACUCUUCCUGAAGAUCUAAGUUUAUUUCCUAGCACCUAUAAGGUACCUCAGAACUGGCUACUACUCCAGCUCUGGGAGCUCUGAUGUCUUCUGGCUUUCUGGUGCAUUGUACAUAUGUGGUUCAUAGGCAUGCAGGCAGGCAAAAUAUCUACACACAUAUAAAUAAAACAAAAAACCCUUUAAACAACAACAACAACACCUUUUCAUGCCUGUGAUCAUGGCACAUACCUUUAAUACCAAAAUUCAGGCAGAGGCAAGAGGACAGUUAGGGUUACAUAGACCCUAUAUAAUAAAUAAUAUAUAAUAAAUAUAAAUAAAUGUAAAAUAAACAAAAGACACUUUAAAAAAGAUUUAUUUUAUAUAUGAGUACAGUGUUGCUGUCUUCAGAUACACCAGAAAAGGGCAUCAGAUCCCAUUACAGAUGGUUGUGAGCCACCAUGUGGUUGCUGGGAAUUGAACUCAGGACCUCUGGAAGAGCAGUCAGUGCUCUUAACCGCUGAGCCAUCUCUACAGCCCAAAAGACACUUUUCGUGUCAUCAAGAACAGAGUAGAUUAUAGGGAGGGGAUGAAGUUUUUAGUGUAUUGGCAUAGGCAAAGACCAAAGCCUUGGACCCGUGGGAAAGUGGUAAAGCCUUUCCUCAUAUGGCGGAGCUCAAGACUUCUUCCUGUGUUCCAAGUCUAGAGGGUUCACUAACAAUUGACACUGUGGGCAAAACCUAGCAAUUCUACCUUCCUCUUCCUUGUUGUUUACAUCCUGAGACUGCUGCCCUACAGAUUAGAUUCUUCUUACAGAGAUUAGCGUCUUCCCUCCUCUGCUGUACCAAAUAAAGGCUCUGAGAUACCAGGGUGCAGUUCCACCAGGGUGCACAGCUCUCCUGACCCCAAUUGAGUGUGUGUGUCUUUCCUUUGUUCCCUCAGUCUCCUGGUCAGUGUUCCAGGACUAAGCAUUGUGGGAUGCAGCAAUUGAGGGGUGAAAUAUUUCAUUUAGUGGUUGAAUCAUGGUGCAUUUAUUUCAUAGUAUUUAAUCGAUGCAUCUCAUGUUUAAUAUUUUAAAGCUCCUAUAUCUCUUCCUUUUCCUUUUAUCAGUAACACUUUAUACUGUUAGAUUCAUUCCAUGCUUUUCUCAUUUAUUUAUUACCUCCCUUCUUCCAAUAGAAUCUAAGCUUUAGGGAGACGGCUUUUCUUCUCCUUUUAGUGCAUCUCAGACCCUGUCUAGAACAGUUGAUGCUUAAGCACCGAGUGGUUGAAUGUAGACUUCUGUUUGCUGUAUUUGGGGUGGUUAUGCACACAGUGUUAUCUUUGCACCCCUUCCACUGUUCCCUUGGUUGAAGUCUGAGAAGUGGAGCAGCAGAGCUGGAGGAUACACAUGUGCACCACAUCAGUUCACGGACCAGCUUCCCUCAGGGUUGCUCACGGCCGUAACCCCACCACUCAGGGCAUGGAACAGGAGGAUUAAGAAUUCUAGGUUGGCCUCUGCACAUCGUAGGUUCAGGAUCUGUCUAGGCUACAUGAGGUAGUGUCUCAAAAAGCAAAACAGAAUAAAAAAUCCAAAACAAAUAGGAGGAGGUGAAGUUCAAGCUGGGUAAGCCUGUACUGCACAACAUGACUUUAUAUAGAUAAAGUCAUGUGUGUAUAUGUGAUAUGUAAAGCUCUAAUGAGUGUGUGUAAGAAAAUGGAGGGUAGUGGUGGGGAGUGUGCUCAGUAUACAGUAUAGGUUUGUGAAAAUGUCCUAUGUCAUACAGUACCAUGUAUGAUGAAGCACUCAGGGUGGUUGAUUUUGAAACCAUGAUUCUCUGUAUAGCCUUGCUGACCUGGAACUCAUUGGGUAGACCAGGCUGGCUUCCAACUCAUAGAGAUCCUCCUGUUUCUGCCUCCUGAAUGCUGGAAUUAAAGGUGUGUACCAGCAUGCCUGGUGGUUUCCCUGUGGUUCGAAGAACACUGAGUCUUGUGUUUCAGUGUGCUUCUUCACUGACGGGUGGAGACGUGGUCUGGUAAAACUGUCGUGCCUCAGAGUGUGGCUGUGGAGUUAGACUGCUUAGCCUUGGGUGAGUCAUUUAUCUUCCUGUGUCCCUCCGUUCUUCACAGGAAGGAAGGGAAAUAGGGGGUUUUAUGAAGGACCCUCAGUUAAGCUAAGGACAGUGCUUGGUCUAGUAGCCGGGUCAGUUACUGCAGCAGAGCUGGUCUGCUUUUGUAGUGCUGGUUCUGCCCAUGGCUUCACAUGUGCUGGGCAAGUGCUAAGAAACACGGUUGCUUUUCACCUCUGACUGUAAGGGUGAACCAGGGGUCUCAUGCUGUCUGAGCUUGUCUCAGACUCAGAGCUCUGUAGCUGAGGCUAGGCUUUCUGACCUUUUCGUCUCCAUCUCCCAAGUGCUGGGACUAUUGGCCUGCCCCGCCAUUUCUGGCUUAAGGUUAAUCAUCUUACCUGUGCACACUGGGCAAGUAUGUAGCCACAUCCCCAACUUUCUGAUUGAUUCUCCCAACACUCAUAAACUAUAAAUUAUCCCAUGUUUCUUUCAGCUUUGUUUAUGCAGUUUUCUGCCUGUAGAUUUUAUAGUUUUUGGCAUUCAGAUAUUUUCCCUUCAAAUUUUUUUCUGGUUUGAGACCAAUAUUUAGAAAUAAGUGUACUUUUCUAUCUUGAAAUUACAAAAAAUGGCUUUUUGUUCUUUUGAGUACUGUGUGUAUUUAACUUAUUAAUUUGAACAUUGAAAUUUCAACAAUUAUUCAAUCUGGAAUUUAUUGUUAGGUUGAGAUGGUUCAGACAUCAGGACACUCUCUGAUGUGCUGAGAGAAGAGACAUCAGGGGCAAUCUGCAUAUGCCGCUGCCCCAUCCCUGGACAGACGAGGGAAGAAUGCAGAGAGUGGAGUCAGCCAGGACUUCACAGGGAGACUCUCUCACCAUAAUCAAACAUUUGCUUCAGUGAAGGUUUAGACAGCUGCCCAAAUGAAAGUGGAGGCAGAGAGUCUUGAUUUUUGUUGUUGUUGUUUUGUUUUGUUUUUAAUUUAAGGGCCGGAGAAAUGUUGAGAGUGCCUGCUUCUCUUCGAGAGGAUCAGAGUUCAAUAUGGCGGCUCCAGGGAAUUCAACACUUUCUUCUUGACCUCCUCAAGCACCCACACACACAUGACUUAUAAACACACAGGAAAAAAGUAAAAAAAACCAAAACUUAAAAGCAGUUGUAUAUUUUUAAAUUGUGUGUGUGUGUGUGUGUGUGUGUGUGUGUGUGUGUGUGUUAGUUUUCAUCCUUUUCUCAAUUGUGCCACUAGCAUGAGUGUCAUGAAGCUUGGUGGCAGGCACCUUUACCUGCUAAGCUACCUCUCUGCCUCCACUUUCAUUUGGGCAGCUGUCUAAACCUUCACUGAAGCAAAUGUUUGAUUAUGGUGAGAGUCUCCCUGAAGUCCUGGCUGACUCCACUCUCUGCAUUCCUCCCUCGUCUGUCCAGGGAUGGGGUAGCGGCAUAUGCAGAUUGCCCCUGAUGUUCCUUCCCCUUCUCUCAGCACAUCAGAGAGUGUCCUGAUGUCUGAAUGUGGUCAAGACUGUUAGAGUUGUGACCUGUAGUAAAUGGACUGAGGUGAGGAGACUGCAGCCUUUGCCGGCUCUGCAGACCCUGAUGCAGGACUGCUGUCCUGGGCUCACCACUCAUGCAGACAGAGUGUUCUGCUUUGUUCAUAAACAAAUAACAGGUUUGGGACUAGCUUAGCAGAAAGCACUGGUCUAGCAUUUCAAUGCCCUGGGCUUGAUCCUAACACCACAGAAACAACCAGAUCACUGUAGCAGCCACUUCCUCCAGCCCAUGGAUACUGUGGAAUGUUGGCGAAGAGGUAUUGAACACUGGAUUCCAAUUCUGUCCUUGACAGCUGGAAUUUUAAUUCCAGUAAGUUUCUUGCCUGGAUUUAAAGUGAAAGAAAGCCAGGUAUAUGUGUAUAAUCUUAGUACUACUGCUGCUGGCCACAAACAAUGCUGACCUUCAUGUGGGACACUUUGUGUAGGUAAGGUUCUGAGCGACAGAUGAAGUGAGCCCCCCUUGAUGAAGUGUUCUGUCUGGUGUGAGUAGCAAACUACAUACAUACAUAUACCACUAGUCUUCAUGUCUGUCUGUGUGUGUGCUCACACAAGUGCUCUGCCCACAGAGCAGAGAAGGUGGUAUUGGACCUGCUGGGAUUGGAGGUAUAGGUGGCCGUAGGGUGGAAAUUGAACUCUGGUUCUUGGCAAGAGCAAUAAGCACCUCUUAACCACCGAGCCUUUUCUCCAACUGGGAAAUACAGGUUUUGCAAAUGUAACUUCAAAUGACACUGUGGCAGAUCCUAAUCCAGUGAUGGUACUCCAUAAGACAAGGUUGCCAUGGAGAUGGAGGCAGGGACCAGAGUUCUGCAUGCUUCUGUGAGCUGCUCCAAGGACAGCCAGCCAUCACCAGGACCAAAUUCUCCCCCUGCUUUUGGGAGUGUGGCCUUGCUGACACACCUGAUUGUUGUCUGUGGUCUCCAGGCUGUGGGAUCAGCUUCUGCUGUCUGAAGCCUGACAGUCAUUAGAAUAUCUCUAGAAACUAAAACACACAAACCACCUCUGUCCUCUAAAAAAGAAAAUGGAGGCCCAAAGACGUCAAACAUUGGAGAGCUCUGUAGCCAGUACCCUGUGUUGGCUCCUGCUCUCACUUUUGCUGGCUGUACCCCUAAUCAUGUAUGCUGAGCUAUUAAAAUGAUUCUAAUGUUAGGACACUUCACCCUGUGAAGUAGACACGCUUGUUAACACCAGGUGUCUUCUCAGCUCUUAUUUUUUGUGCGUAUGAGUGCUUUGCCUGCUUAUGCACCACCUACAUUCUUGGUUCCUAUGAAGGUCAAAAGAUGGCACUGGUUCCCUGGAGCUGGAGUUCAGGAUGGGUGUGAGCUGUCAUGUGGGUGCUGGUGCAUACCAAUACUCUGAAGAGAUGUUUAUUGGGGAUCCAGAGCAAUGGCUCAGCAGUUAGGAGCAUUGGCUGCUCUUCCAGAAGACUCAGGUUUAGUUUCUAGUGCCCACAUCUGCUACUUCAGUCCUGGAGAUAGACAUCCUCUUCUGACUCUCACAGGUUCUGCGUGCAUCUGGUGCACAGACAUACAUGUAAGCAAAACACCAUACAUCUAAAGUUUAAAAGUGGAAAAAAACCCCAAAACCUAUUUUGGUGUGUGCUUUGCCAGUUUCUGAAGAACCUGCUGCCAGGUGACCUUGCCUAGACCUAGUCUGCUGGUGCCUGGACUUUCUCCAUUUCUUUCUACCACUUGCUGAGCUUGACUGGCCUUUUCCACUCCAAGAUACAUCCAUCUCCUUAAACUUCAGGCCAAGACAGUGUCCGGGCCCUCUCAGAUCAUGACCACAGAAUAAUAUAGAACAUGGGCACGGCCGCUGCGACCCACUUGUUGAGGCCCACAGGAGCUGUGGCUUGUAGUCCUGUUAUGCCCAGGCCUGUUUUGGUCACAAUGAUUUGGUUCUGCAAUCCUGUAUGUGGAAAGGCUAGACACUUAACUCGUGACGCUCCUUCCUGAGUCAGAGUGGUCAGUAUACAGGACCAUUCUGUUUCCUACAGACAAGGCACUGAGGUGCAUAGUUUACAUAUCAUAGCAGAUUUGGCCAGGUUCUCCCAUCAUUCCUCAAUCCUUACCAGGCAUACCCUGCCCCCAACCCUGAACUUUACAGCCCAGAGGCUGGGUUGUUCUCCCAGCAGAGGCUCUUCCCUAUAUAGUCCAGACAUUUUGUUUCUCCCUGUCUUCUUUUUCUGUGUGAAUAUUCCCCUUUCUUCUCCCAUCCCCAUGGUGACUUCUCUAGCCUCAAUAUCAUCUAAUCUGGCUUGAAUUGGCUCAUUUCACUGGUGGAGGAAUAACCUAUCACUGGGCCUCAUUGAGAAAAUUUUAUUUUUAUUUUAUUUUAUUUAUUUAUUUAUUUUGGUUCUUUUUUUUUCGGAGCUGGGGACCGAACCCAGGGCCUUGCGCUUCCUAGGUAAGCGCUCGCUGUACCACUGAGCUAAAUCCCCAACCCCUGAGACAAUUUUAUAAAGAAAGGUUUGACAUUGUGAGGGCCAGGCCUCUUCACAGAGUUAAUAUAGGAGUCAAAGUGGUGUCCACGUGGCAUUGAACUCAGGUCCUCAGACUUGCUUUUGUGUGAACAGUGUGAUCAGAUCAGCUCUUGCAAGGGAGGGGAAGAUCUGAUAGGGGUUACAAAACAGACAAGGUCUGCAGGGCACACUGCUUGACCUGGUGAACAGAGUAGCCGAGGAGCCAGGGCCUCUUGUAUCCUGUCAUCUGCCACCCUCAAGCUGUCCCUCCACUAGCCCACUUCAAGGAUCCCUGAACAGGAAGGUCAGAUGGGAAGAACAAGCCCUCACCCUCAUUGGUCAAGAGUGUCUGUCACAUUGCCUUUCCUUCUCUAUUGGGUUGUAAUCCAAGCAUCCUGCUGCUGUUGGGCAAGCUCAAAACAAAAGAGCUGUAUGCCUUGCUCAAGGUCAUGCAGCUAGCGAAGGCUAAACUGGGACUGGUUUCUUCUGGUUUGGCAACUCCAAAGCGGGAGCUGUUUCCCAGAGCAGUUGUCUCUGGUGAGAUUCGGGACAGGAGGCUGGGAACAGCAGGAAGACAUCGUGUUUCCCUGCCUCACAGUUUGGCCUAUACCAACCUGUUUAGCCAGUGUGCCCUGUUUAUAGAGACCACAGUGACAAAUGACAAGAUACCAGUGGGCUGCACAGGAGACCUGACAAACAUUGCUGUUGUCUGUUUGUUUCCUCAGUGCAGCCCACAUUGUUGAAACCUCACUGCUGACUGACUGGCUUACACCUGCGUAGCCCUGUGUUCAUCUCAGAUGAAGUCUGAUGUGUGCUAGUGAGUAAGGUCUGAGGCAGCAGAAGAGAGGGUGUGGCGUGCCACACUACCUGGGUCAGAGCUGGCCACACCUGUCGUGAGUAAACAAGGCUGGCGCUCUUGCCUUUCUGAGGAAGACCAGAUGGCUAUAGAUGCUGGCACAGGGCCAAAGGGGUCCUUGGCCUUUGGCCAGCAGAGAAAACAGCUUGAGAGAGCCAGUGAUUUAAAAGAAAAAAAAAAAAAAAAGACGGGUAUGACUUCAGAGGGACCAAGAAUGUCCUGUUUCUGUAAUCUUUCCCCGGCCUUUUGCUAGUGCUUGGAAUUUUACAGCUGAAAGCUCUCAUUUUAAUUGUGUGUAUGCAUGUGUGUGUGCGUACCUGUGUAUGUGUGUGUGGGAUGGUAUUAGGGUCCUCUUUUUACUUUUGUUUUGAUAUAGAGCCCCAUAAAGUUGCCCAGGCUGGCCUUGAACUUGUGACCUUUCUUCCUCGGCCUUCUAAGUAGCUAGAAUUAUAGGUCUGUGUCUUCAGGCCUAGUUCUUACUUUAAAUCUUUGCUACUUAAUCAAAAGUGAGGGUGGAGGAUGUAGCUUAGUGAUAGAACCCAGGCUUAGCAUGGCUUUUAUGCCCAAAGCUCAGCACUGGAGAGAGGAAGGGAGGAAGAAAGGGAAGAAGGAGGGAGGAAGAGGGAAGGAGAGAGGACGAGAGAACGAGAGUACACUCCAGAAAGGGAUUUGAUCAGGAAACCUCUUGAAUGUAGAAGUGGAAAUGAACAUGGUGUGAGGUUGACUUCCUAGAGCUAGCGUGUGGAAGCGACAGGGAAGGAUGCUGUACCUUAGCUGUAGAGGCAGGAGAGAAACCAGUGAGUCUAAGGUCAAGGCAGCUGGGCCCUAAAGGGACGAUUCUGUUUUCUUCAGUUUUGUCUACAGAAGGACAAGCCUUGAGGGCUGCUGAGGAUAAAGGUUGUUGACACAAGAGUGAGUGCUGGGUAGGGAGGUUUCCACAGGGAGCUAGGAUUCAGGCAUCUGGAGGGUGGCUGAUGUCCAGACUACAACCCAGGAGUGUGCAAAACCUUUGGGUCUGUGGUUUGUUGUGAUGUCCUCAGACUGUCCCAGAUCUCAGGAAGGGGAGGCUCGGCUUCUCAGAAAUGAUGCACAAUGAUGGCGUAAAAAGGCCUCCGGCGACAGCAAGGGCGGGGCACUUCCUCGGUGCUGCUGGUCACAGACUUUCCCAGUGAGCUGUGCUGUGAGGGGGUUUUUCAGGAAACUGAAUAGGCAUGCGAGAAGCAACUGAAGCCCCUGACACACAGCCCCUUGGGCUGUACCUGGAGCUUCUAGAAGAGCUCAGAGGGCCAGACCAGACUUCAGCCUGCCCUCCACCAGAGAGAGUUUUUCUGGUGUUCAAACUGCCAAAAGGGUUUGGAUUCUCCCAUUUUCUUUCCCUAGAAUCUUGGGCAGGACCAGCUCAGGUCUCAGCUCCCUGAAGAUAGUAUUUUCCUUUGGAUUCAGACUUUACCUUCAUUCAGGCCUUGUAACAUUCUAACCCCCGCUCCUCCAGCCCCUCAAGUUUACAACAUGUAGAUCACUAGUAACAGAGUAAUAGGACUCUGGAAGUUUCUAGAAUACCAUCCUUUCAACACCCUUAACCCCAUAUGCAGACUAAUGGCAGCUGUGUCUGCUGUUGAUUGAAGGGCUAGCAUCCCUGGAGGGAGGGACCCCAGGCAUUCGUUCUGUGCCCUAAAUGACAAUGUUGCCACUUCUCUUUGCCUCCCUCCAUCUUACCUUUAGUGUGCUUUUACAGUACCAGGUUCUGUCCACCAUCUGCCUCUCACUCUCAGACUCUGGUCCAAUAACCCAGUUGUGAGUCCCCUCUUCAGGAGCUGUGGCCAGACUUCAGCGGGGAGAAAGUCCUGCCCACUCUACUGGCCAUUUUGAACUGCAUGUUGCUUUGGGGACUAACUGGAUGUCAUGCUGAUCGGUCUGCUCUUUUGGAGGAAGGCUUAUAUCUUCCCUGGAUUCUUGUCUUGGAUUUUAUGCUAGUUCUCCAUGUCCUUAUCUCAGGAGAAGUUAUCAAGAGACAUAAACCCUCAGAAAGGAAACCGAGAAGGCAUUUCCCAAGCCAUCUACUCUUUUGAAGGAAGUUGUUUUUUCACAGUUAGUUACUUUAUUUUUCUGGAGCUGAGUGUUUGCUUACCUGUGUGCCUGGUCCUCAUGAAGGCUGCAUCCCCAGACCUGGAGUUACAUAUGGAUGAUGUAGGCCACCCGCCGUGUGGGUGCUGGGAACCAAAGUCUAAUCUUCUGCAAGAGCAGCAAGUGCCCUUACCACUGAGCUAGCCCCAGAGUAGUUACUGAGUCUACCAGAACACAGUAUUGAUGGAAUGCAGUGCUGGAAAGGUUUACCACAAAAAGACAGGCAGAUGGACUCAUGGCAAGAAACCAUAACACCAGUUCAGAUAAAAACCAUGAGGAGCAGGGUUUGGUCACUGCGUCCGUCCGGAUUCCCUGCCAGGAACACUCACUAGCAACUCCCAGCGGGAGGCAAGCCCCUGAAAUUGGCUCUCUGCCCUUUUGAGUAAGAAUGGGAUGUCACCUUCUUGACUGUAGGAGUCACCAGCUGUAAGGACCGAGGCUUCUCUUGUACCCUUUCCCCCCUGACCUCUCAGGAUUUACGGGCUACACUUUAGCAGUCCUGCCCUCUUGUUGGGAGACCAUUUGUCUCAACAUCAGCUCAGGGCAUCACCGCACAGGGUCAUUGGUGUCAGGUGGCUCAUUUUUUUAUGGAGCAUAUAUAGCAUUAUAAAAUUCCCACUUUCCCUAUUAAAUCGCCCUCCUUUUACAGUCUCCCUAUGGGCAGGGCCAUGUAAAUCUGCAGGAUAAGUGGGCAAAUGCCAAGGAUGUUGGCAUAGCUGGUACCCAGUGGAAGCCAUUCACCUUUGAGUGAGAUCAUUCUUCAGAGUCCAUCCCUUCUCUGGACUGCCUCUGCUCUGUGUCUAUGUCUGGACUAGAAUUUGCUUUGUAAAGCAGGCUGGUCUCAGUCUUGGGAGCUUGUAGUCUUGGGCUUUUGCCUCCCGUGCUGGAAUUACAGGUGUGUACAACCACAUCUAACUUGUCAAGUGCUUUUGAACCUGAGUCUCCCGCCAGUAUGUGUUCAUUACCCACAAUGGCCACACACUAUUGGCCUGUUACCCUCCAUAGUGCUAAAAUGUCUUAAACUCAGUAUGUCUCAUCCACAUUUCAUAUUUCUUCUCAACCCAUCCUCCCCUUCCUCCUCCUCCUCCCCUUCCUCCUUCUCCUCCUCUUCCUCCUCAGGCUGCCUUCUCUAGACUUACGAACAUCAUCCAGGUUCAUUUAUGAACUAUGUUCCCAUUGCUCUUGUCCACCAUUCCCACCAGAAAUGGAAAGAACUUUAAAAAUUCUCUUUGUGUGUGUAUGCGUGUGUGUAUGUGUGUUCCUGUGUGUAUUCAUGCACACAUGUUCACCUAGGCAGCGGUGUGCUUGUGGCAGUCAGAGGAAAGCUUUAUCAUGUUGGUUCUCCCAGUCUACCACGUGGAUCCCAAAUGCUGAACUCAGGUGGUCCUCAACAACAAGUGCCUUUCCCCAUGGAGCCCUCCCAGAAAUAAUAGCUCUAAGAUAUGGUUCUUUCUUCCUCUUCCUCCUCCUCCUCUAGAGGUCGGCAAGGAAUCUGUAGGUAAUCCCUAUGGAAGAAUUCAUAUUAAACUAGAAAUCAAGCACCAGGAACUGGAAAGUAGGUUCUUGUUGGAGAACAGAGGCCAGGAUCAAGUGAAAAGUCCAGCACAGUCAGGACACAAAUACAUGAAACAGGGCUGGUAACUGGCUAAGUGGGACAAGGAGACCAUGAGUGGGCGCAUGGCACACACCUGUCAUCUCAGCACUGAGAGGUGAGGACAGGAGGACCGUGACGGCAAGGCCAGCUUGAGUUACAUACUGAGGUUCUGUUUUUAGAACCUGACUACUGGAUAAAAGGAACGAGAUGACUGAGAGACUUUAACACCACAGUGAUAAAGCUGGUUGCGGUGAGUCACAUGGUAAUCCUAACAGUACUGAGGAGGCUGAGGCAGGAGGAUUGUUGUGAGUUCAAGACCAGCUUGAACUCCCUAUGAAUUUCAGGACAACCUGGGAGUGUUUUUUUGUUGGUUUUUUUUUUUUGUUUUGUUUUGUUGUUUUUUUUUUUUUAAAGAGCAAAGUAAUGAAUGUAGGAGAAGAGAAUUCGGUGAGACAGGGGUCUCACUGUGGACCUCUUCCUGGCUUGGAACUCUCUAUGUAGACAAGGCUAGCCUUGAACUCACAGAGAUCCACUUGCCUCUGCCUCCAGAGCCAACCAUACAUGGUGAUGAUUAGGUUUUAAAGAACAUCUCGGGGCUGGAGAGAUGGUUCAGCGGUUAAGAGCACUGACUGCGGGGGCUGGGGAUUUAGCUCAGUGGUAGAGCGCUUACCUAGGAAGCGCAAGGCCCUGGGUUCGGUCCCCAGCUCUGAGAAAAAAAAAAAAAAAAAAAAAAAAGAGCACUGACUGCUCUUCCAGAGGUCCUGAGUACAAAUCCCAGCAACCACAUGGUGGCUCACAACCAUCUGUAAUGGGAUCUGAUGCCCUCUUCUGGUGUGUCUGAAGACAGUGACAGUGUACUUAUAUAGAAUAAAUAAAUCUUUAAAAGAGAGAUUUCUUAUUUAAAAAAAAAAAAAAGAACAUCUCUAAUGCAUACAACACUCUUACAAAUCAGUAGGGAAAGCCAGUACCCCUGACAAAGUUCAGCCCAAGCCAUAGAAGUACAAUGAAGUCAGUGAAGUACAAAGAAAAAGAUGAUUUUAGUUUGAAUCUAGAAAACACAAGCAAAAAUGAAAUGUCGUAUUUCAGUGUAGAUCAACGACAGAUAUUCAAGGAGAGAGACUGGGAGUGGGGCUUGGGAUGCCACUGAGGGGCAGGACACCCACAGUCGGGUAUGCAUUUAAAAAUCAGGGCCAGCAGUGUACAUCAGGAUUUACUGUGCCAGCAGCUCGGGGAGUCAGCUCAGGAUGCACAUGGCUGGGAAUGUGAUUAGAACUGUCUCUCUGAAGGGCAGCAUGAUAGUACUGAUCGAAGUCCAAAGCACAAUGCCUUAGACCAGCUGGACUGUGUCUGGGGACUUGUGUUAGGGCAGACUUGCCAAUCUAUGUCUAUUCUGUGUAUGGGUAAUUUAUUACACAGAGUUCAAAGAGCAGCCAUAAUGGACCUGAAUGGCCAGACUACGGCAUGUAUGUCCAUGCACUGGUAAAUGAAGCAGACCCAUACUUACACGAAAGCAUCACUACAGUGUCUACAUAGAACAUAUAGAACAGGAAUCUCACUGGAAAUAAACAUAGCCAUAGUUGUGUAUGCACUUAAAAAUCAGAGCCAGUUAACAACAGCAACAGAAGAAUGAGAACCGGCAACAGAACUCAGUAAAAAACACUGUGCGAACUGACCUAACUCUGUCUUUGGAGCCCACAGGGGAAGGGAAACUGACUCCGGAAGUUGUUCUGACUCUGUUACACGGUGCCUACACUUACGUAUGCACACAAACAUAACAAUAAUCAAAAAUUGCACAACAUAAAAAUUUUGCACAAUACACAAAUUAUUUGGGGGAAACACUAGUAACAGUGGGAAUCUGCCUGGGUCUUGUGGUACACGCCUACAGUCUAGCACUUAGGGGGUAGAGGCAAGAAGAGCAGGAGUUUAAGGCCAGCCUGGGCUACAUGAGACUGUCUCACAAAAGCAAACCAGCAACAACAACAAUAAAAGGACCCUGACUCCGGAGUGAUCUGACCGAAUGAUUUACUCAGCGGGUGAGGUAAGAAAGAGGCUCGCAGGCCCUUGAGCAGGACCCACGGAAGGCAGCAUUCUGCGUAGGAAUGGAGGCAGAAAAUGAAGUGCAUAGACCUGAGGUUCUGAGGCGUCGGUUAGACCGGGCUGUGGAAUGAUAGGCCAGGAUCCGACCAAGGACUGCAUGAGGGGUAACCAUGGAUCCCAGAACGCAUAGACGGGUGGGAAGAGGAGAAAGAACACGGUAAGAUGCCAUAGAAAUGACCUGGUCUGACUUCACCCUGUGAAAUACAAGCUAACACACAUGACAGCAAGAAAGAUGAGCACUCUUCUAGAAAGGGAAGAUUCUGCGAUUGCAGAUUUCCAUUGGGAGAAGUUUCUCUAAAGCAGAGGCAGCUCUCCUAGGAAUCCUACAGCCUGGUCUCCUUGCCUGCUGUAGGAGGUAAGUCAUGUUGGGAGGAGGAGAGAUGUGUCUCAGAACCCAUGAGUGUGGAGCCUGAGGAGAAAUGCAGCCCCAGCAUGCGAAAGUCGCCUCACCAUUGUGCAGCCCCACUGUGUGCACAACUUCAACUGGUAGAAACCCACAUGCUUCCUGGUAUCUCUUUCCUUUUCAUAUGAGCUAAAGCUAAGGAAUAGAAUUGGGGGGGGGGGUAGGGGUGUGUCUCAUACCUGUAAUUCCAACACCGGAGGCAGAGGCAGGAGGAUUGCCAUGAGUUCAAGGCUUCACCGUGAGAACCUGACUCAGAAAAUAAACAAUAAAUGAAAACCAGACCAAAGUAGAAUUAAGAUGUACAGUGUUUAGCUUCAGUUUCUCCUUUCCGUUUCUGUUCCCUGUUUGUUGGGAUGAAGUUUCCAAGGGAGAGACUGGAAGCAAAAGAUGCAGCCCAGAGCUAAGAGCUGUCAAGGGCACCAGGGCAAGGACACGUCACUGACCCCGUUAGACAUUCCCUGACUAGAAAAUGGUGGAUGCUCUGUUGAGGUCAGUUGGGGGAAAGUUCUCACCUGUCCUUAAGAACCCAGGAAGUGUUUGGACGUGAAGCCGUCCAGUGUGACCGCAGCAGGUAGUGGCGGCUUACUACUUUGUGUCAGUUUAUUCUGGCUUCCUUCCUUUGGAAAUAAUAGAGUAAAAGUGUUGACUUAGACCAGUGAGGAAAGCGUCUGUCUGAGUUAGAGGGAAGAAAGCUUGUGUGAAGUCCUGAAGCUUGGGUAUCUACUUUUAAAGAUUUAUUUAUUUAUUUUAUGUAUAUAAGUACACUGUUGCUCUCUUUAAACCAGAAGGGAGCAUCAGAUCCCAUUUCAGAUGGUUGUGAGCCACCAUGUGGUUGCUGGGAAUUGAACUCAGGACCUCUGGAAGAGCAGUCAGUGCUCUUAACCACUGAGCCAUCUCUCCAGCCCGGGUAUCUACUUUUAGAUACCCAUGCUGCCUCUCCUUACGUAUUCACGAGCAGGUACAGAUCCCAGAUAGACUUCUCCAAGUGGUAGAUCAGGCCUCUUAGGUCACGUUGCUCUUCCAACAGGUACCAUCUUUAUGGCACCAAUCACUUGACCAGUGCAGAUAGCACAGGAGGUGCACGCUUCAGCCUUUCUGAGCUCACAGGCUCGGCUCUAAGUAGCUCCCAGCACUGCCCUGGUGUCUCAGCACCACUGCGUGAGUUCACCUUGUAGCCCGUUCUCCCCAGUGUUGGGGAGGGAGAAAUGAAGACUGAAUGAGCUUCAAGUGAAGCACUUGAGGCAUCCUCCCCCAGGCAUGUGAAGGUGUGGGACAACUUUCCUUGCUUCAAGAUGCAGCUUGGGGGUAGAACAACUCCUGCUCAGAUUCUACAGUGGACGGGAAAAAAACGGAAAGCCACUGGAAGUGUCUGUUCGGUGACUCCUCAGGCUUUUCCAAACUGUCUCACGGGUCUUAGAGGAAAGAGCAGUCCUCCUGGAAGACCAAGACACUCAGAGUCUGGAGUAGAUGAGGAGGCCGGCGGGAGUCAGAUGUCGUACCAGCAACCUAGAUUUUAGAGCAGGAAAGCAGUUAACAAGUGUCUGGACCAGUGGAGAAGACGCAGGCCUCUGAGCCACAGCGAGGACAAAUCCUGGGACAUUGUCAACAGGAAGAAGCAUGAGCGUCCGUCUGCCAUGAGACGGACGGGUCCUGGAGGAAAGAGACCCAAAAAGAAGAGGGGCCUGGGGCCCAGGAGCCCUGGGGUAGAGGCGGACAGCUUUCCUCGGUCCACAGGGCUGCAGAGGUGGGGGCUAAGCGCAGAUGUUUGCAGCAUCUCUGUCGGCAGUGUUAGCAUUCCGUCUGAGCUCCACCCCCACAGUCACCUGGCUGGGGGAGUUAAAUGCAGAUGUCUGCAGCACAUGGGGAGCACUUUUAUUUAGAAAAAACCAAAAGGAAUUUAAAAGCCUGUGACUACAAUUUUUAGCCUGCAACUAUGAUAAUUUUUUAAAAAAAAGGUUUAGUAUCCAGUGAUAAUUAUAACUGUUACCAAGGCUGGGCUAAUUACUUAUCAGAAUUCUAUCAAUGUGUUCAAGUUUGAACUCUGAAGUCUUAGCACCAUGCCUCGUCUAUAAACCUCAUUUUCAUGUGCCUUGAAUCACUUCCUCAGACCUUUACAACUUACAUUCACACACCUUAAAUGAUUUCCUUGGACCUUUACAAGUUACAUAAAUUUUGAACUUUUUUUUUAAUCUGGAAAUCUCUGGUCAUUUGCCAUGAGACAGAAGGGCUAGACCACUGAGAGCAGUCACUGGAGAUCAAGCUCCUUUAGAUAAAGGAGUAGUAAGAACAGUAAAGCUGCAGUCAGAGCAGCAACGUGAUAGCUUGAUUUGGUUUUUACACUGAAACCUGUUUUGGGAGUUUCUCUUUUUCAGAAAGAGGCUUGACACUCUAGGAAAAGCCACACCUGGUUUUUACAUAUGAAACUAAUUCAGGCUGGCAGAUAACUGAGUUUCAGUUUUAAAACCCUUUUUAUUAAUUUUAAUUAAAAUACUUUAUUCAUUUGUUUUUGUUAGUAUCAGAGGACAAUUUACAGAAAUGGGUCUCUCCUUCCAUGGUGUGGUUCUGGGCUUGGUCACUGGGCUUGGUGGCAGGCACCUUUAUAUCAGGUGAGCCAUUUCUCUAGCUCCUAAAGCCCUUUUUAUUAAAGAGACUUAGAGAACUAAACUAUUUUUUUAAUAUUUUAUUUUAUUUGCACUGGUAUUUUGCACGCAUGUAUGUCUGUGUGGUGUCAGACUUCAGAGAGAUAAAGAAACCACUUAAAGUGGGGCGGGCUCUGCUGCUGAAGGUGGGCGCUCCUGCCACUGGGGCUCCCUCCCUCCACGGUGCUGGUGAGAAGGCUCAAGACUGUUCUUUGGUGCUGGUUAAGGGUAGACCCUAGGAUGGGCGUCCAGAGGGCCCGGCUCCAUCCAGGCAGGAGGAUGGAUGAAGAGCAGCCCGCUGGGGAUCCCAUGAGGGGAGGAGAGCGCCCUGCUUACUGUGAUAUGAGGUGCUGGAGCAGAGGGUGAAGGGACCACCAUGCCAUGUGUAAUAAAGCCCCCAUUUCUGUAUUGCCCCAGGGAAUGCAGCAGACACUUGGUAUUUAUUUAUUUUAUUUUAUUUUGUUUAUUUUAUUUUAUUUUAUUUUAUUUUAUUUUAUUUUUUUGGUUCUUUUUUUCGGAGCUGGGGACCAAACCUAGGGCCUUGCGCUUCCUAGGCAAGCGCUCUACCACUGAGCUAAAUCCCCAACCCCCGGUAUUUAUUGUUUUGAGACAGGGUUUCUCUGUGUAGCCUUGCCUGUCUUGGAACCCACUCUGUAGACCAGGCUGGCCUUGAACUCACAGAGAGCUGCCUAGUUUUGUCUCCCAAGUGUUGGGAUUAAAAGUAUGGGCCAUUGCUACCUAGUUAUCUAAUAUUUUUAUUUAUGUGUAUGUCUGCCCCUGUAGAGGGUGUCAGGUCCCCUGGUGCUGGAAUCAGAGGCUGUUACAAACGGCCUAACAUGGGUCCUAAGGACCACAUGUGGGUCCUUUGGAAAACAGCAAGUGCUCUGAACUACUGAGCCAGUUCUCCAGCCCCAAACACAUGAUAUUGUAUGUGUGUGUGUGUGUGUGUGUGUGUGAGUUUGUGUGUGAGUUUGUGUGCGAGUUUGUAUGUGUGUGAGUUUGUGUGUGUGUGAGUGUGUGUGAGUGUGAGUGUGAGUGUGUGUGUGCGUGAGUGUGAGUGUGUGUGCGUGAGUGUGAGUGUGUGUGCAUGAGUGUGAGUGUGAGUGUGAGUGUGAGUGUGUGUGUGUGUGUGUGUGUGUGUGUGUGUGUGUGUCUUAUUUUCGAUAAAGCAUGCAGAGAACCGAAUCCCAGUCUGGGGAUGCUUAGUGUAGAGGGGAGAGAUCGGUCUUAUGAAGUGAGAGUGGACGGGACUGCAGGAGCCACUGGGACUUCUCAUGGACUUGGGAUAAGGGCUCAUCAGCUUUAAGAGCAUUCCUAAGCUCACAUCGAUGGCUGCUGUCCUAGUGGUUCAGAUGUGUAACCAGGUCUCCCUGCUAACAAUCCUUUCUGACCAAAGAAGGCCAAAUCUAGCUCAGAUACCACAAAGGAAGGUCUUGGUCACACUCUUCCCUCCCUGUGAGUUACACAGAAGCCCAGGGCACUGACCCAGAGCAGCAGUCUUCCCAACCACAACCCUCAGAGUGAAGGGCUGAGGAGACCAGUAGCUCUUGGGACUUGAAGACUGCUCUAGCAAAAGCUAAGCAGACACCACUGCUCCAGUGAGUGUUGUAAGGCAAGGGGCAAGCCUGUGCCAAACUUGACAAGUAUCCUUAGGGAAAAAGACCUGGUAAACGGAGAUUUUAAAAGAUAUAUUAAAUUUAUGUAUUUCUUUUGUGCUUGUGUAUCUGUGUUGGGGUGUACCCAUGCUACAGUAUGCUUGUGGUAGCGGCCAGAGGACUACAUUCGGGGGUCUCAGGUCACCAAGCUUGGUGGCAAGUGCCUACCUACUGAGCCACCUUGUUAAGCCUCUCAUGUCACUUGGCUUGACUGUUACUCCAGGCUCUGAGAGCUAUAAAACCAGCGGGCUUUGGCUUUUAGGCAUACAUCGUCCUGUCUUCGUUAAAGAACUCCAUUUUUCCUCUGAGGACUACCUCCUUCCCAGUCUCAGGGAAGGUCCUGAUAGGUAAACACAAUUUUUCUUUUUUUGAGACAGGGUCUAGAACUGUCUGUGUAAGACCAUGCUGGCCCCAAACUCAAAUUCAUAGAGAUCUAUCAGCCCCUGGGUACCAGGGUUAAAGGUGGGUGCCACCACAUCCAUUUUCCAUUUCAUUUGAAGAGCACAUGGCCCGUCAGUUGGAGAGUGGUGGCCCCAUGCCGUGGAUCCCAGUUGGGCAGCCAGAGCCAUCUGGGUCUUGGUUAGAACUGUUAAGAAGUGACCUCUGUUUCUUAAGGUGGAGUGUAAAGUCCAUGGGAUAUGGCCAUCGCUGUGCCAAGAUGUCCGAGAUGAAGCAGACACAGAUGAAGGUUGAGCUGAGACAGGGAUCUAGACGCCAAUAACUGCGUGCUGAGAGCCUGGGUAUGAUGGUGUGUCAAGUUUCUUCUCCAUGGGCCCGACUACCAUCCCUUUUUUCCUUAUGAAUGUUUGAUUUGGAUUUUCAUCAGCCAGAAAUGUUCAUGUAUAAAAUUGUACGCAGUCUUCGCUGGGCUGCGUCUUCUCAGCAGGUCCUUUUGUCUUAAAGUGCUGUCAAGUGAGACCCUGCACAUGAAGAGUCUAGUGAUCUGCAUAGGAAGAUCCCAGUAAAUGUUAACUACAGGAAUCAAGGAAGCAAGAUGCAGGAGGACCCAGAAUGCCUGAGCAUGACCUCUGACCCUUCUGUAUGCUCUCAGCAGUUCCUUGUCACCACGGUCCCUGUAUGAUGCCUAGCAGGCAGUGACUACUCUCCCAACAACCCCAGCCUGAGACAGUCCACAGAUACUGACUGAAUGAGUUAUUAUAGAUUAGACUGGCCUCCUGGAUUCACAAGGUUAGGACUGGGGCAAGAUUGGCAAAUUGAGGGAGAGAGUCCAUCCCCUCUGUGCCUCCGGUAGUGCCUGCCCCACUGCCAAAGAG